AUAAAAGGUCACAGGACAGGACUCCCUCUUCCGGAAACCAACUCAGGGAAAGGAAGCAGUGAGACUCUUAAGAGUCACAUCAGCUCAGCUUCUUCUGGGAAGCCCUGGAAGCUAUGGAACAGCAAUCGUGACAAAGGCAGAAAGGGUGAGUGGGUAAAGCCUUGCAGGCCAGAGUACCAUGCCUGGAUUUCUAUGUGCAUUCUGGGGAUUUGAAGAUGUUAAAAAGUCCAAGGAAGAUGGGCAAUGUGGCACACAUCUGUGGUCCCAGUACCAGAAGGGGUCUAACGCAGGUUGACCAUCAGGCUUUUACCCACUGAGCCGUAUCACUGGAUGCCAUCUUGGUUUUCGAGCCAAGGUCUCUCACUGGCUGGGCUACCUGGCCAGCAAGUCCCAGGGAUCCACUUCUCUCUGCCUCUCCAGUUCUUCAAUUAUAAACAUGUGUCUCCAUGCUCAAAUUUUGUGUGUGCAUGUGUGUGUGUGUUCCUAUUGUAAAAUAUUUAACUAUGUAAAUAUGUAUGACAUUUGUUUAUGCUGUGGGCUAUUACUUUAACUGUGUAAAGCUGUGU